rnacentral:rRNA from 1 species
AUUGAACGCUGGCGGCAUGCCUUACACAUGCAAGUCGAACGGCAGCACGGGUGCUUGCACCUGGUGGCGAGUGGCGAACGGGUGAGUAAUACAUCGGAACAUGUCCUGUAGUGGGGGAUAGCCCGGCGAAAGCCGGAUUAAUACUGCAUACGAUCUACGGAUGAAAGCGGGGGACCUUCGGGCCUCGCGCUUUAGGGUUGGCCGAUGGCUGAUUAGUUAGUUGGUGGGGUAAAGGCCUACCAAGGCGACGAUCAGUAGCUGGUCUGAGAGGACGACCAGCCACACUGGGACUGAGCAACGGCCCAGACUCCUACGGGAGGCAGCAGUGGGGAAUUUUGGACAAUGGGCGAAAGCCUGAUCCAGCAAUGCCGCGUGUGUGAAGAAGGCCUUCGGGUUGUAAAGCACUUUUGUCCGGAAAGAAAUCCUUGGCCCUAAUACGGUCGGGGGAUGACGGUACCGGAAGAAUAAGCACCGGCUAACUACGUG